rnacentral:rRNA from 1 species
CAGCAGCCGCGGGAACACCAGCACCUCGAGUGGUCAGGAGGUUUAUUGGGCCUAAAGCAUCCGUAGCCGGUUGCAUAAGUUUUCGGUUAAAUCUAUGCGCUUAACGUAUAGGCCGCCGAAAAUACUGUGCAGCUAGGGAGUGGGAGAGGUACACGGUACUCGAUAGGGAGGGGUAAAAUCCUUUGAUCUAUUGAUGACCACCUGUGGCGAAGGCGGUGUACCAGAACACGUUCGACGGUGAGGGAUGAAAGCUGGGGGAGCAAACCGGAUUAGAGACCCGUGUAGUCCCUGUCUCUUAUAC